rnacentral:rRNA from 1 species
UUUGGUGGCGAUAGCGAAGAGGUCACACCCGUUCCCAUACCGAACACGGAAGUUAAGCUCUUCAGCGCCGAUGGUAGUCGGGGGUUUCCCCCU